rnacentral:rRNA from 1 species
AAGUCGUAACAAGGUAACCGUAGGUGGACCUGCGGUUGGAUCAUUAAAAAAAAGUGAGCUCAAUUGCCAUAACGGAAAUUGAGCUUAUGACUUUGUUGUAAUACACAGAGUUUCAUACAUUUUGUGAACCGUUUCGUCUCUGGCGGGAGGGUAGCGCAAGCUACUUGUCAGCAACUUGUUUGCCGUGGACAACCCGUCAAACCCUUCUAAACCUUUGUAUUUUUUGAUUGUCUGACAUUACUUGUAUAAAUAUACAAAACAACUUUUGGCAACGGAUCUCUUGGCUCUCGCAACGAUGAAGAACGCAGCGAAAUGCGAUAAGUAGUGUGAAUUGCAGAAUUCAGUGAAUCAUCGAAUCUUUGAACGCACAUUGCGCUUCCUGGUAUUCCGGGGAGCAUGCUCGUUUCAGAAUCAUUAAGAAACUCACAAACCUUUUGUGUUUAAACGCACAGAUGGCGAGUGGAUUUGGGCGAUUUGUUUAGGCAAUCGCUUCAAAAUGAUUGCGUGUGUACUCUGAUUGACUUGCAAUUGGUAUAACCCUCAGUGCAACAGAUAAUGAAACACUUUGGGCGGCCAAUUGCGAAUUGCAGUGCGCACUUCCAUUUGUACACAGCUUCGAUUGCAAGUUUUGCAAUUGAUUCUGACACUUGGUCUGAAAUCGAGCAAGAAAACCCGCUGAACUUAA